rfam:Toxoplasma gondii VEG unlocalized apicoplast scaffold scaffold00504, whole genome shotgun sequence.
GUAAAUGAAGUUAAAUGGUUUUAACCCUAGAUUGUGGUUCUAGUUAUAGCAAGUUCAAUUCUUGUCAUUUAUC